GACGAACGCUGGCGGCGUGCUUAACACAUGCAAGUCGAACGAAGUGGCGAACGGGUGAGUAACGCGUAGGUAACUGCCUGGUAGCGGGGGAUAACUAUUGGAAACGAUAGCUAAUACCGCAUACUACCAGAUGGACCUGCGUUGUAUUGGCUAGUUGGUGGGGUAACGGCUUACCAAGGCAACGAUACAUAGCCGACCUGAGAAGGUGAUCGGCCAAACUGGGACUGAGACACGGGCCAGGCUCCUACGGGAGGCAGCAGUAGGGAAUCUUCGGCAAUGGGCGGAAGUCUGACCGAGCAACGCCGCGGGAGUGAAGAAGGUUUUCGGAUCGUAAAGCUCUGUUGUAAGAGAAGCGGUAUCUUACCAGAAAGGAACGGCUAACUACGUGCCAGCAGCCGCGGUAAUUC
rnacentral:rRNA from 1 species